CAGUAGCCACGGGAACACGUAGGGUGCGAGCGUUAAUCGGAAUUACUGGGCGUAAAGCGUGCGCAGGCGGUUGAGUAAGACAGGUGUGAAAUCCCCGGGCUUAACCUGGGAACUGCGCUUGUGACUGCACAGCUAGAGUAUGGCAGAGGGGGGUGGAAUUCCACGUGUAGCAGUGAAAUGCGUAGAGAUGUGGAGGAACACCGAUGGCGAAGGCAGCCCCCUGGGCCAAUACUGACGCUCAUGCACGAAAGCGUGGGGAGCAAACAGGAUUAGAUAACCCCUGUAGUCCCUGUCUCUUAUA
rnacentral:rRNA from 1 species